rnacentral:lncRNA from 1 species
GUGACAAUUGAGAUGCAUACCUACAAAUGAAGGGCAACAGAGAGAUGGUGUAUGACUGCACCAGCUCUUCAUUUGAUGGAAUCAUCGUGAUGAUGAGUCCAGAGGACAGCUGGAUCUCCAAGUGGCAGCGCAUCAGUAACUUUAAGCCAGGUGUAUAUGCUGUGUCAGUCACUGGUCGUCUGCCCCAAGGAAUUGUGCGGGAGCUGAAAAGUCGAGGAGUGGCCUACAAAUCGAGAGACACAGCAAUAAAGACCUAGCUAGGUGCAGGCCAUAGCGUCUUGUUCUCUACUUCUGUACUUGUUUUCUUGUAGAACUAAAAGGUGGGACCCCAAAGACUCCCGGCCCUUCAGCUCAGGAUCGGCAGACUCCGUGAAAGCAGCACAUCCGUCCUUAAGUCAUCUCACUUUCUCUGACUACUGGUGAAGUGGGAGUGUCUGGGUGGAUUCUCAGAGGCUGUAUCAGGAGAGUAAGAUGCUGAUUUCCCACCUCUGUUCAGGGUUUUGCCUUUGUCCAUGGGCAGGACUUUGGUUCAAAUGCCAAUAAAACAAACCUUUGGAACAUACUUUAAAAAAAAAAAAAGAAAGAAA